rnacentral:rRNA from 1 species
UUACGGGAGGCAGCAGCGAGGAAUAUUGCGCAAUGGGGGCAACCCUGACGCAGUAACGCCGCGUGCGGGAUGAAGGCUUUCGGGUCGUAAACCGCUUUUCGGUGGGACGAGUGAGGACGGUACCACUGGAAUAAGUCUCGGCUAACUACGUGCCAGCAGCCGCGGUAAAACGUAGGAGGCGAGCGUUAUCCGGAUUCACUGGGCGUAAAGCGCCAGUAGGUGGUUCUGCAAGUCGAGUGUUAAAGCCCCUGGCUCAACUGGGGGAGGUCAUUCGAAACUGCGGGACUGGAGGACAGCAGAGGAGAGUGGAACUCCCGGUGUAGCGGUGGAAUGCGUAGAGAUCGGGAAGAACACCAGUGGCGAAGGCGACUCUCUGGGCUGUGCCUGACACUGAGAGGCGAAAGCGUGGGGAGCAAACGGGAUUAGAUACCCCGGUAGG